rnacentral:rRNA from 1 species
UGGGGAAUAUUGCACAAUGGACGAAAGUCUGACGGAGCAACGCCGCGUGAGUGAAGAAGGAUUUCGGUUCGUAAAACUCUGUUGUUAGGGAAGAAAAAAUGUAUAGUAACUAUAUACAAAAGAGACGGUACCUAACCAGAAAGCCACGGCUAACUACGUGCCAGCAGCCGCGGUAAUACGUAGGUGGCAAGCGUUGUCCGGAAUUAUUGGGCGUAAAGCGCGCGCAGGUGGUUUAGAAAGUCUGAUGUGAAAGCCCACGGCUCAACCGUGGAGGGUCAUUGGAAACUAAUAAACUUGAGUGCAGGAGAGAAAAGUGGAAUUCCUAGUGUAGCGGUGAAAUGCGUAGAGAUUAGGAGGAACACCGGUGGCGAAAGCGGCUUUUUGGCCUGCAACUGACACUGAGGCGCGAAAGCGUGGGGAGCAAACAGG